rnacentral:rRNA from 1 species
UGGGGAAUAUUGCACAAUGGGCGAAAGCCUGAUGCAGCAACGCCGCGUGAGCGAUGAAGGCCUUUGGGUCGUAAAGCUCUGUCCUAGGGGAAGAAAAAAAUGACGGUACCCUUGGAGGAAGCCCCGGCUAACUACGUGCCAGCAGCCGCGGUAAUACGUAGGGGGCGAGCGUUAUCCGGAAUUAUUGGGCGUAAAGAGUGCGUAGGUGGUUUUGUAAGCGCGGGGUGAAAGGCAAUGGCUCAACCAUUGUAAGCCCUGCGAACUGUAAGACUUGAGUGCAGGAGAGGAAAGUGGAAUUCCUAGUGUAGCGGUGAAAUGCGUAGAUAUUAGGAGGAACACCAGUGGCGAAGGCGACUUUCUGGACUGUAACUGACACUGAGGCACGAAAGCGUGGGGAGCAAACA